rnacentral:rRNA from 1 species
AUGAAGACCUUAUUCCUCCUAGCUCUCCUUUCUCUUGUAGUGAGCACAACCAUUGCGCAAUACAAAGAGGUUGGCGGCAGCUAUGAGAACGGUGGCGGAGGGUUUGGUUCUCAAAACUGCCCACCGGAGAAGACGAAGCUGGACUCUUGCAAGGAUUAUGUGAUGGAGUGGUGCUUGGCGGUGAAGGGUUUUUCAAUCGCCAGGCUUUUGAAAUGGUGGAAGGGCGCCUGUGAACAAGAGGCCCUAGACCAGUGUUGCCAGCAACUACGCCCGAUAGCAAAGAAGUGCCGUUGUGAGGCCAUUUGGAGAGCCGUCCAAGGCAACCUUGGUGGCAUCUUUGGUUUUCAGCAAGGCCAGAUAACCAAACAAAUUCAGAGGGCCAUGAUGUUGCCGUCCAAAUGCAAAUUGGAUUCCAACUGCAAGUUCGUCGCUACUAAUGGCUAUUACUAGUGA